CAGCACAGACGCUGACCGCGGGUGUUCAUCGCUAUUAGCCGACUAGCCUUCAUCUUUCACUGAGGACAUGCUGAAGAAUGACUGUGUUUGGACAUCCUAACAUGGCGGGCAAAAAGGACUUGGGAAGACAUCGGUUUAGUUACUUCUGCUACUAUCCAGUUCCAGGUGGAGAGAAGGUAAAGAAGACAUGUUCACCGUGGGAUGAGGUAGUAGGUUGUAUAGUUUUAGGGUCACACCCACACUGGGAGAUAACUAUACAGCCUACUGUCUUUCUCAAAGUGAAAACGGAGCAACCUACGGAGUUUCAUCCUUCAUUUUCUGAUGUUUAAUAUCAAUGAUAGCAUUGUCACGGUAUGUUUUGUUUUAUAAUUUUUUUUUUUAAAAUAUAAUUUGUGUGGAAUGGUAAUAGUUUUGAUGCUUGUGCAGUGUGAGGUAGUAGAUUGUAUAGUUGUAGGGUAGUGAUUUUAUCCUGUGUAGAAGAUAACUAUACAAUCUAUUGCCUUCCCUGAGGGGCAGAAACACAUCUAAUUAUGUUAGAAAAUCUGAUGUAGUGUAUCAAAACAUUUUCCACGUCUCUAAUGCAAUAAAAGUAUUUGCAAAUGUA